CACGUAGGGAGCAAGCGUUGUCCGGAUUUAUUGGGCGUAAAGAGCUCGUAGGCUGUUCGAUAAGUCGGGUGUGAAACCUCCAGGCUCAACCUGGAGGCGCCACCCGAUACUGUCAUGACUAGAGUCCGGUAGGGGAGCGUGGAAUUCCUGGUGUAGCGGUGAAAUGCGCAGAUAUCAGGAGGAACACCAGCGGCGAAGGCGGCGCUCUGGGCCGGUACUGACGCUGAGGAGCGAAAGCGUGGGUAGCAAACAGG
rnacentral:rRNA from 1 species